rnacentral:rRNA from 1 species
UACGAAGGGGGCUAGCGUUGCUCGGAAUUACUGGGCGUAAAGGGCGCGUAGGCGGGUCGUUAAGUUGGGGGUGAAAGCCCAGGGCUCAACCCUGGAAUUGCCUUCAAUACUGGCGACCUUGAGUAUGGCAGAGGUGUGUGGAACUCCGAGUGUAGAGGUGAAAUUCGUAGAUAUUCGGAAGAACACCAGUGGCGAAGGCGACACGCUGGGCCAUUACUGACGCUGAGGCGCGAAAGCGUGGGGAGCAAACAGG